AAAAGGGGAGGUCAAGUCAAAUAUAGAUGAUGGAGUCAGGUAAGGAAUUAAGGAAGACGUAUCUACGACCCAAUUGUUGUCUUUUCCUUCAUCCAUCUACUUCUUGCCCUUUCGUUCGUUUUAGAUAUACAUAUAAAUUCCUAGAAUUAAUUUUAUCCAAUCGGGAUGUACCUAAGCAUCACCUCCAAGUCCAAUAAUGAUUCAUUUCCUAACUAGUAUCAGGCAGCAUAGCUACUAGGUUAAGCAGAAUGGCGACUUAUGGGUCUCUCCCAGUACAGAGAUCACCAGAUCUUAUCAAUUCUAGAGGAUGACCUGCAAGCCUGGAGUUCGUGACGUAUAAAGCAUUUCAAGGAAAAAAUCAAGGUUACCUCUCUUGUGGAACUAAAUCCUGAAAGAGCGAUUUUCCAAUGUGGGACUUUCCUUAUAGGCUACCCAAUAAUGUCUUUCUGAUUAACAAAGGGGCUACAGUCCUGAAGACCGGAAAAGAAUUACAAGAUGGCAAUGGGAGAUGAUAAAUUUGACCUUCUUGGUUAUUUCUUGGAUAAACAAAGCUGUGGUUUUACUCAUACUUGAUGGAGGGGAAAUUAAUUUGAACAACGGGAUACGGAGGUUAGUUGUUUUCUCUCUAUUUGUCUUUGUAGUUAUAAAUAAUGGCACUACUAUACAACUAUGCCUUAGAUUAGGAAAAGCUUAACCUAUGCUAUAUUAUUGCUCCUUUAAUUAGGGGCAUUAAUAGCAUGAUGAUGAUCGUUGUAGCAAAAUCCCCACUUUUAAAAGCCAUCAUCAACAUUUGUUGUUGCUUCAGUUGUAUACUUUUAUAUGCAUUGUUGUGUGUAUAAUGGCAGGUCAAGAAAACUGAUGUUGAAGAUGCUCUGAAAGUUUUAAAUUUUUGCUAUUUAUCUUGUAUCUCCUUGUUGAUGGAAUGCAGAACAGAACCAUUUAAAGCUAUCUGGAGGACAGCAUAUGCGUGGGAACCACUAGGAUAUUAUCUCUAUCGUUGAAGCAGAUCAUGUCUAUAUUAUUAGAGGUAAUGUUAUUAGGAUAGUCAAUACAUAAACAAACUUGAAAGAAGAACGAAAAGGAAAGGGGUUUGGAGUUUGGACGAUGUAAAAUUAAGGACUUAAAUUCAAAAGAACCAUGCAACCAUUGAAGCUAAGACAGCCAGUGCAGCAGGAACACCCGGAGCCAGUCCCCCACUUUCCAUUGGUGAUGGUGGAAUUGCCACUUGAUCUUCCCUCAAAGCGGGGAUCCCGGUGGCGAAAACAGCAACAACCGCAAUGUAGACAAUCAAAAUCAUGGCCACCUUGCUACCCUGCAUUUCCGACCGACCCAAAAACAGGUACGCCCUCUUUAAGAAUUACAAAGGGAGAGAGAAGCUAAGCUAUUGAAGUGAGUCCUGUGUUUUGAGCUUGACUUAGAAGAUGAAUUAGAGAUUUGAAAUGCCUUUUUUAUAGGCAAAGAUUAUGGUAAUAAUCAAGUAUUGGACAGCUACGUUUUGUUGGUUUAACCACUAACAAAAUCAUUUUUAAGUUCCUACUUCCUGUUCACAAUCAUCUUAUUUCAUACGUUAUUAAAUUUAUCAAAUUCUACUAUUAGUCUUUGUAAUCUUUGUAAUUUGUAAAAGUUGUGGAUUUAGUCCUUAUACUUUUAUUUGAUAAAUUUUAUUCUUGAGCCAAGUUUGGCUAAAUUCAA
rnacentral:lncRNA from 1 species